UUUAUGGAGAGUUUGAUCCUGGCUCAGGAUGAACGCUGGCGGCGUGCCUAAUACAUGCAAGUCGAGCGAACGGACGAGAAGCUUGCUUCUCUGAUGUUAGCGGCGGACGGGUGAGUAACACGUGGAUAACCUACCUAUAAGACUGGGAUAACUUCGGGAAACCGGAGCUAAUACCGGAUAAUAUUUUGAACCGCAUGGUUCAAAAGUGAAAGACGGUCUUGCUGUCACUUAUAGAUGGAUCCGCGCUGCAUUAGCUAGUUGGUAAGGUAACGGCUUACCAAGGCAACGAUGCAUAGCCGACCUGAGAGGGUGAUCGGCCACACUGGAACUGAGACACGGUCCAGACUCCUACGGGAGGCAGCAGUAGGGAAUCUUCCGCAAUGGGCGAAAGCCUGACGGAGCAACGCCGCGUGAGUGAUGAAGGUCUUCGGAUCGUAAAACUCUGUUAUUAGGGAAGAACAUAUGUGUAAGUAACUGUGCACAUCUUGACGGUACCUAAUCAGAAAGCCACGGCUAACUACGUGCCAGCAGCCGCGGUAAUACGUAGGUGGCAAGCGUUAUCCGGAAUUAUUGGGCGUAAAGCGCGCGUAGGCGGUUUUUUAAGUCUGAUGUGAAAGCCCACGGCUCAACCGUGGAGGGUCAUUGGAAACUGGAAAACUUGAGUGCAGAAGAGGAAAGUGGAAUUCCAUGUGUAGCGGUGAAAUGCGCAGAGAUAUGGAGGAACACCAGUGGCGAAGGCGACUUUCUGGUCUGUAACUGACGCUGAUGUGCGAAAGCGUGGGGAUCAAACAGGAUUAGAUACCCUGGUAGUCCACGCCGUAAACGAUGAGUGCUAAGUGUUAGGGGUUUCCGCCCCUUAGUGCUGCAGCUAACGCAUUAAGCACUCCGCCUGGGGAGUACGACCGCAAGGUUGAAACUCAAAGGAAUUGACGGGGACCCGCACAAGCGGUGGAGCAUGUGGUUUAAUUCGAAGCAACGCGAAGAACCUUACCAAAUCUUGACAUCCUUUGACAACUCUAGAGAUAGAGCUUUCCCCUUCGGGGGACAAAGUGACAGGUGGUGCAUGGUUGUCGUCAGCUCGUGUCGUGAGAUGUUGGGUUAAGUCCCGCAACGAGCGCAACCCUUAAGCUUAGUUGCCAUCAUUAAGUUGGGCACUCUAAGUUGACUGCCGGUGACAAACCGGAGGAAGGUGGGGAUGACGUCAAAUCAUCAUGCCCCUUAUGAUUUGGGCUACACACGUGCUACAAUGGACAAUACAAAGGGCAGCGAAACCGUGAGGUCAAGCAAAUCCCAUAAAGUUGUUCUCAGUUCGGAUUGUAGUCUGCAACUCGACUACAUGAAGCUGGAAUCGCUAGUAAUCGUAGAUCAGCAUGCUACGGUGAAUACGUUCCCGGGUCUUGUACACACCGCCCGUCACACCACGAGAGUUUGUAACACCCGAAGCCGGUGGAGCAACCUUUUAGGAGCUAGCCGUCGAAGGUGGGACAAAUGAUUGGGGUGAAGUCGUAACAAGGUAGCCGUAUCGGAAGGUGCGGCUGGAUCACCUCCUUU
rnacentral:rRNA from 1 species